GACGAACCUUGCUAACGUUAUUCGGAAUCACUGGGCUUAAAGGGUGCGUAGGCUGUGCAGAAAGUUGGGUGUGAAAUCCCUCGGCUUAACCGAGGAACUGCGCCCAAAACUACUGUGCUUGAGGGAGAUAGAGGUGAGCGGAACUGAGGGUGGAGCGGUGAAAUGCGUUGAUAUCCUCAGGAACACCCGUGGCGAAAGCGGCUCACUGGGUCUCUUCUGACGCUGAGGCACGAAAGCUAGGGGAGCAAACGGG
rnacentral:rRNA from 1 species